rnacentral:rRNA from 1 species
AUUGAACGCUGGCUGUAUGCUUAACACAUGCAAGUCGAACGGUAACAGGGGGGAGCUUGCUCUCUCGCUGACGAGUGGCGGACGGGUGCGUAACACGUAUGCAAUCUGCCUUUAACUGGGGAACAACCCCUCGAAAGAGGGGCUAAUACCGCAUAACAUCACCGGACGGCAUCGCCUGGUGAGCAAACCUACGGGGGUUAAAGAUGAACAUGCGACUGAUUAGUUAGUUGGCGGGGUAACGGCCCACCAAGACAGCGAUCAGUAGGGGAUCUGAGAGGAUGAUCCCCCACACGGGUACUGAGACACGGACCCGACUCCUACGGGAGGCAGCAGUAAGGAAUAUUGGACAAUGGAGGCAACUCUGAUCCAGCCAUGCCGCGUGAAGGAUGAAUGCGCUAUGCGUUGUAAACUUCUUUUAUACGGGAAAAAUAUCCGCUAUUCUUAGCGGAUUGAUUGUACUGUAAGAAUAAGGGUCGGCUAACUACGUGCCAGCCGCCGCCGUAAUAC